UCAUUUUGUUUACAGACUGACAGAUACAAUUAUCCAUCUACUGCCUGGAUUAUUAUUGUGAUCAUUGUGAUUGGUUCCCUUCAGUUACUCAGCAGCAGAAUUUGUUUCUCUCCUUGUGUCUUUCUCCCCCUCCUAUCCUGUCUAUGUCUCUAGAAACGUUGGUUCGAAAUCAGAGUGGUGAAUGGACACGUAAAAACUAUUCCUCCAUACUGAGCAAAAGAGAAACGGUACAUGAGAGCUCAGAGCAGUGAAAGGAUGGAACAAUGGGCAAACAGGAGAAAGGCAGGUUGGAGGGAAUGCGAGAUGCGAGAGAGAAUGGGCUUUCGUGCCUGGCGAGCAGAGCCACGUCAUGGGCAAUUUGUCACAAGGUCGGGGACCAUGAUGGAAAAUGGCGACAUUUUAACUCCCAUGGAGCAGCCCCCACAGUGUCUGCUAUACUAUCUGCCAGCCAAAGAUGAGAUGCGCUUUUCCUAUUGGAGGACGUGGAUGCUCAUGCAACCUAGCGUGCGAUCAGGAUAUUGUGCUGCAUAGGAACCACUGGAAGGAAGAGGGGAGAUGAGUUUCCCUGUCCUGAUGGAGGUCCCAGCCAGACCAACAAGCAGUAAUCCGGCCUCGUUGAAGAGGCCCAGUGGGCCCCAUGGUGCAGCUCGUCCGUGGGACUCUCGGGCUUUCAUCUCAAUAUUAUUUAACUGAGGAGUGAGAUGCUUAUUUGAACUCAUCAGUCAGCAGGAACCGACUGGAAGUCCAUCUGCAACACACUGAAGCUGUAAGAAACAUGAGCAAAACAUGCAUG